GACAGAGGGUGCAAACGUUGUUCGGAAUUACUGGGCGUAAAGCGCGUGUAGGCGGCCAUCUAAGUCGGGCGUGAAAUCCCACGGCUCAACCGUGGAAGUGCACUCGAAACUGGAUGGCUAGAGUCCUGGAGAGGAAGGUGGAAUGCUUGGUGUAGAGGUGAAAUUCGUAGAUAUCAAGCGGAACACCGAUGGCGAAGGCAAUCCCCUGGGCCUGCACUGACGCUCAUGCACGAAAGCGUGGGGAGCAAACAGG
rnacentral:rRNA from 1 species